UGAAGCGGAGCAUGUAAACUUAACCACUACGCUACUGGGUUGGCCCCCUAUAGUUGUUUUUUAAGAAAGAGAAUUUGCUGGCCUCUUUCUUCUGCAGAGCCAUGGGUCUCCCCCAGGUUGCGUACUUUUUUAUGUGAUCAGCUUUUUCCUGGCUGUGGAGUCACUGGAGAGCUCAGGUUUCCUCCCCUACCUCCCCCAGAGCUCCAUCCAAAUCCAUUUCGGAUUUGUUUCUUGAUUCCUCCAUGUGUGGCAUCCUGCCUGGCACACAGCAGGUGCCCAACAAAUGUUUGUUGCACUUACAGUCUUAAAGAUGGCUGACAGAUGGUGUGAUCCAUUUGAAUGCUGGAUGUGGACUCGUGCAGCCCUGGCUUUGGUUCUCAAGUGCAGUGCUUCACUUUACUGAUCCUUAGUUUCUCAUCUGUAAAAUGUCAAAAGUGAAACUCACUUCCUGGGAUAGCUGUGUGAAUUAAAUAAGGUAAGAUGUAGAAGUCAUCUCAAACAACACCCAGCAUAGAGUAGUGCUUUGUGACUAUUAAUUUCAUUUCUUCCCAUAAAAUGUGAGAUUGAUGAAGAUAAUAUGCCUUGGGUAAUCGACUUAUCCAUCCAUCCAUCCAUCCAUCCAUCCAUCUUUCUACAGAUGCAGAGAAAAAUGAGACAAGUUGUGUGUUCUGGAGAAACACCUCUAAUGGAGAAGACAGACAUAAAUAGAUAAUUUACAGUCUUGCAGGCAAGAACUUUGGCAGACACGAGGGAAGAGCUGCAGGUACAGAGGCCAGAGGAGUGACACUGGGGUGGGGGAUCUGGUGUCCAUGUGGCUUCGAGGCUCUCUGGACAGGGGCAGGGAUUCAGGGGUGGGGAGCGACAAGACCAGCUAGCCACUUUCUUCAUCCUGUAGAAUCCUAAGGUCCAGCCUCGUCUGGGGAGAUAACCGAGCAGACCUCAGACGGCAGCUCUCAUGUAUGUGCUCACACUGCCUCUGGAGGAGGGAUGGUUUUAUUUUUCCUGCCAAGACACUCAUCAUUUCUAUCCACUGUUCUACUGCAAAGCACUUACAUGUCAUAGUUUUCCAGUGGAGUCCAGGAGUGCCUUGCAGGCUCUCACUCUUUUUUCUCAGAGGAGGCACCUUUGCUUCUCUUAGGUGACGGGGACCAUUUCCCCUGCCGCUGUCUCCGACACACCCAUACCUAAGAGGUGGAGGUUUUCACGCCCACGUCAGACAGAAGAGGACCCGUGGUCAUUUCUCUUCACAUCUGCAGAGGGUCUUCUGAAGUGGGUCACACCGUUGGGGAAGUGGGGCUGCCAAGCAGUGCCACUGAGUUGUGUUUCCUUCUCUGCUUCAGGCGUUGCUUCUUCUCAGGGACCCAGGGGACAGGAGGGCAAGCAGCAGCAGACACGUUUUCCCUGGGUGUUAAGCCAGCAACAGUUCUUUUGCAAACACAGACCCGUUUUAGAAGCUGAGCGCUCGGUGUUGUGUCUGAACAGAAGUCCAUCAUGAAGUGUUUUGUUGCUUGUACAUUGUGACCUGCCAGGGCAGGGCUCCAGGGUCUGUUCAGGGGGAUGUUAGCGCAGGUCAUGCAGCCCAGCUUGUCUUGGAUGCUGCCUUCGCGAGACCUCCCAGCCCUACCUUGUUCCCUCCAGCACGUGAUCGGGAGCAUCGCCUGGGCCCUCCUCUGCUGGCCCUGGGAACCUCAUCGCCUGUAUUGACGAUUCAUUAUUGUCUCCGAACUAUAUCGUGUGAUAGCUGUUCCGUGGUAAGAUGGCUCUUUUUGUCUCUUCUCCACGAGUUACUUCAAACCCUGCUCCUGGCUGAGACUGGGGGACCGGCCUCUUCACGCAAGCCCUGGGGAGAGGAUGGAAACGCACGGAAGCCUUGCUCACCUUCGCAGGCUGUGAUCUGGGAAGGAAAGGCUCAGGGCAGACAGGGCAGGCGGGCUGAGAGCUCUGGUGGGCUGCUCCCCGGUCCGUUUUGGAAGUUGAAACUGAAACCUCUGGGUAUUUACCCAGCCAGUCACCUGGAUGAGGAAUGGGCCAGGAGGGUCAUGUGACGGGAGUCAGGGCGAACACAAAAGAAUCCAUUUAUUAUCCUGGCAGGAAAUUUGUUCUUUUGGAUUCUGUUGCUGCAGACAUAAUGAUUUCAUUUCCUUUAGGGGAGGGAGAUUAAUGGCCCUUACCCCAGGGCCUGUGUGGAUUGCUGUUUCCUCCAUUUCCCUAAGUGUUGUCAGCUCUGCUGUGCCUUCCUUUCCGUGGGGUCAGAGGGCGUGUGCCGGUUCACACUGAUUAACCGAAUGCGGCCUUCCCUGUGGAAGCUCUAGGGUCCCCGGGUGACCCAGGUUAAAACACACACCUCAUGGAAAAACACCUCCCAGACAGGCUGUGCACGGAAGCCUCCCAGAGCCAGCUUCCCCCAGAGGCAGCGCCAGGCCUGGUUCCCCUCCUGCUUCGGAUGUAGCCACUCAUCCUGUGGCCGGAGAAGUGGGCCAGAGCCUUGAUUGCCCAGGAGCCAGCUGGGACUAGGACGGCAGCAGCACUGCCACCAGCCCAUUAGCUGUGUAUCUUGAGGCAAAGUGCCUAACCUCACCAAGCCUCAGUUUCCUCAUCUGUAAAAUGUGGAGAUUGCACCUGCUUUACCAGGCCUUGGAGAGGAUGAAACGAGAUCUGUGCCAAAGUGCUUUUAAACGGAAGGCCUCCCCGGGAGUGGUGGCCUCUCAUGGCCCUCGGGAGGACAGGUCCUGGUGCAGAGUCAGCCUUGUUCAAAGAACAAGAUAAGGUGGGUGGACUGAGUCUGUGGUCUGCGCUGAGAUGCGGAGGUCAAGAAGAAGGCAGGAAGAGAGACCAGAAGGCCCUUGGCCACGUGCUCCUUUCAUGGGUGUCACCGGUGAUCUCAGGUGGCCUUUUUAACCUGGCUCCAGCGUUUCAUAUUGCGUGGAGCAGACAUCCCAUAUGGGGAGACAGAUUCUGUGUCUGGAUAAGGAUCAGUGUUGUGUUAAAAAAAAAUCAGACUUAGACAGUUUUCCCACUGUGGCCUUGAGAUGGGUGUGUCCUGGUGCCCUGCUCAGAGUCAGGCUGUGGAUGGUGAGGUGCUGUGGCUUCCUCCCCCUGAGCCUUGCUCCUAAUUGGUGCUUGAUGGCUAUUUGCUCCUUAGGUACCUUUAAUUAGCAAAACUUUUGCAUUCCACGGAGAUGCAAAGGUGAUUUAUUUGGAGAAAUUUUUGUAUUUUCCUGUGCCUCGGUUUCCCAGCUGUGUCUGCACUUGACCCCAGCCACACAUUCAUAAUGGAGAAUAAUGAGUUUCUUAUGCUCUGUGUAAAGAGAUGUCAGGUUGAAUGAAAUGAAAUGAAACUGAGUUAAGUUGACAGAGCUGUUGAACACCAGAACGUGUGACCGGGACAUGGAGUGGUCUGUCCCCUCGGGGCCUUGGGAACGGGAUGCGGCUCCUGGCAGAGGUUGGUUUUUGGGGAAGUCUUCUUGGAGGCAGGGGCGUGUCUCGAUGAAGCAUUGCUAAAAAUAAGUUAAAUAUGGAUAACAGAGCAAUUUUAAUAAACAUUUUACUUUUAAUAUGUUUAUAGUGUUGUUAAUUAUCUCUCUAAGUGGAGAAAAUAGAAAUUGUAGCACAUUGAACAAAGAUUGCUGAUUAGGAUAAUAAAAUGGAAAUUUUAAUCAAGACGAUAACUUUAAGUCAAAGGAGGUUUUCUCCUAGGCUGCUGGAGCUUUCAUCUUUAUUAAACACCCCAUUUAUCAUCACCACUCCAUUCAUCGCCGGCAUUAGAUUAAUAUUGACAAUUUAAAAUAGAAAUAACUUUUUCUUGCUGUUAUGGUGUGAUGUGAUAACGGUGCUAGAGGCUUUGAGGGAGCCAUCACGGGCUGUCACGCCAUCUGCCCUGCUGCAGUUGGCUGCCACUCUCCAGGCCACACCUCAAGGCACCGGCCACUCGAGAGGGAGGGCUUCUCCUGCCAGGAAGCCCCUCCGUGACCUGUAGCUCACUAAAUCUUGUGUGUUCUGCAUUGAGAAAGCUAAAGGCCUUUGGUGGCUUGAGGUUGUCUCCUCAGGGUGGAAGUGCGCUCAGAAGUCACAGGCCUCUAUUUUUCAAUCCAGUCCAAGAGAUACUUGUUGACUAUCUGCAAGGUACUAUCGAGAUGCCAAAAUGGGCAAAACUCACCCUGCCCUGCGGAGAUGUGAGUCCCAGAUGAGUGGUGUGGACAGAAGCACCCCAAAGGUGUAGAGCAGUGGUUCUCAGUGUGGUGCCCGGGCCAGCAGCAUCAGCUUGCACUCCAGGGGUUGGGAUCCACUGCCCUUCCCCGGAGGUGCUGAGGCGUUAGCAUCUGAAUCACCUGGAUUCAGCUGGUUGAGUAGCUUUCGGGUGGAAUCCAAUAAAUUGCACUUCAAGCAAUUUUCCAGAUGAUGCUGAUGCUGCGGAUCCGUGAACCACACUUUGAGAACCACUGAUUUAGACUAGACUGCUGAGAACAAGGCGAGGAGGGCUUCAUGGAGAAGGUCCUUUUGGACUCUGUAGGAGGAGUAGAACCUGACCAAGUAGGGAGAAGGAGAAGUCCCCUGGAAGGUGAUGCGGCCAGAGUCAGAAAUGGGAAGUUUGGAGGGCAGCGGGCCCCGGGGAGAUGGUGUUUGGCUUAAGAGCCUUGACCAGGAGGUGGGCCAGCAGGUGGCCCUGGGAGUGGGAAUGGAGAACUCUGUCUCCAUCAGUGGAGAGGGGUGAGUGGCACAGGGAGAGCUGUGGCUUCCCUGUGACAAUGCAGGAUGACCGUGAAGGCAGAGCCAGGAGGUCAGGGGUCAGAAGCCAUUCACGCCAGCUGGACAGCACCCUCCUGAGAUACAGCCCAGGCUGGACCACACCAGGAAGACCUGUGGUUCAGAGCCCAUCACCCCACUCCUAUGAUUUGGGUUCAGUGCUUUUCCCUACAUUGCUCCCUUUGCUGGGUGGGGGGAAGGGAAUGGAAGGGACGUGCCUCCUGGAGCUCUGCUCCACAAGCCCCUAGUGUGAGGAAAAGGACCGCCACCUGCCCCGGGUUAGGUCUGCUGGACCCAGCUGUGGAGGCCGCCCAGCAGCAGCGUGGCCUUGGCCUUCUAGGUGCCUCUCCAAGGAGUCCCUCGGCCAUGUUGGGAGGCUGUUCCUGAUGGGCUGUGCUUUGGGGCACUGGGGAAGGGACAGGUUCCUAGACACCAGCAUGGUGCUGCCGCCUCUUUGGAGCUUCUUCAUUCUUCCACCUUCUCCAAUCCUCUAGGGCUUCUUAAAUAUGCUACAUCAUUUCUUAAAAGGCCUCUUUCUUUGCCUUGAUCAUAAAAUUGCCAAGGAACAAUGGCUGUCAUUUAAAACGGCAGCAUUAAAGCUCAUUCCCACCAGUGACUGCCGUUGUCAUCGCUGUUCCACAUCAAAGCAGCCCGGAGCUCCCGGGAGAGGACAGGGGAGGGCCUGGCCUCAGUACUUCCCAGUGCCGAGGGGACGAGCCAGCCUGCUGGCCAAGACCUUCUCCGAAGAAGAGAGGUGUCCUCCACGUUAGCCCCUGGGGAGACUGCCCAGGUCUAGGGCCUGAGAAAGAUGAGGCUGGGAGGCCUAUGGAGUGGGCACCCCUCAGCCUUCUUGGGGGUCCUCUGGGCAUGCCCUGCCUUCACUGACUGCUCUUGGUCAGGGGUGGGAAACGGGACAGUGUGGGGCAGGAAAAGUCCUGCAUCCUAGGCACGGAGGUGAAGGGACCGUGGGGCCUGGGGCUGACUUAGGAGUCCUGGGUGCCAAGAGCUCACGCUGGCCCCAGAGGGCUUUGGGAAUUGUGCUGAGCAAGGAGGAGCAUCUCGUGGUGCCCACACUGACUGGGAUCCUGGAUUCAUUAUCUAAUGGAGGUGGAGGGUCAUAAUCUACCCACUCCCGCUUCCAUAGGGAGCUCCCAUGGCUGCCCUGUGGGCACGAGAGAGGCCAGACAGUCUCCCCAUGGCGCAGGGUCAAUUGCAGAAGACCCUCUGGCUGUUAGUACAGAGCCGGGAGGGUGUUCGUCCCCUUCCCCUGGGGAUAGCCCUGCAGAAGCAGCUGGAAGGGAAGUUGUGUCACAAUGGGAGGCUGGGCCUUGGCUCCUGUCCUGGAUCAGGAACUGCCUCUCUCCCCAUUCCCGUUGGAUCAUUGCCCUGUUUCCUCCCAGGCUGAAGGUCCGAGUAUGUUUGGGAGGGAAGGUGCCGGUUCUGUGCUCCUCCAGGGUUUGGCUGGGUCCAGAAAAGAGAGAACGGGGGGCUAGGGCCCCCAGGGUUGAGCAGGCCUUGUCUGGAAGGAAGAAUCCAGGCUGUGGGGAGACAGCUGAGCAGGGUGCACAGGUUCCCUUCCUGCUGUAGGCACCGUCUUCCCUUCAACACGCUGCGUGAUGGAUGUACACCUUGAACUCCGUGCGUGUUGUUCGCGUGGCGAGGUUCACGUGGGCUGUCUUAGCUUCUGCGGUCUUGUUCCUUGGGCGUCUGCGAGUUCGUCGUGGGGCCUCCACCAUGCUCAUCGUCCUCAGUGUCCUGACCUGUGGGCACUGUGGCCACUCUUCACUGCCUGACAAGGGAUAGUUUGUUUCGCAUCUGAGCAAACGAUUGGAAACAACCCAAAUGUCCAUCAUUAUGAGACGGGUUGACUAACUAAUGGAACAGCCACACAAUGGAAGAACACUCUACAGCUGCUAAGAAAAAGAAGAGAAGCUCUCAAUGACCUGAGUUGGAAAGACUGCCAAGAUAUAACUCAAACAGGCAAGAUGCAAAACAGUGUUUAGUAUGUUGCCUUUUGAAUAAAAAAGGGAGAAUUAGGCUCUGUAUUCCUAAGUGCUUGUCUUGGGUUGAACCAUAUGAAAUUACCGUUUUAAAAGGUCAUAAUGGUUGAAUAUUGGUAAUUUCACAUGGUUCAACAUAAUGUGUGCAUAUAGGAAGGAUAAGGUAAGAAAUGAAGUUCCCUGAAGAAGGAUGGGCAGAGACUUCUCACUGGGACUGUUAAAAAUAAGGAAUCUCUGAGGUGAUUACUGGGAAAGGAAUGGGGGUCACUCUGAGCUAAGGCAGAACCAAAGGCCACGCCCACAUGAAGGGUGAGCAGAAGCUGCCUGCCCCUGUCCUCACACCCGAGCCCCAGGCUAGACCAGCCCCAGAUAGUGGACAGGAGGCUGGUAGAGUGGACCGGCAGCUGACUCCCUCUUUCUAGGUGUCGUAUGCGGAUCGUAUGGUGAGAAUGAGUUAGAAAUUUAACCUUUUCAGAAUUUUAUGCUUUGAAUGCAAUUCCAUGUGGCAAAGAAAGCAUCACUCAAGGUGUGUUGAUCACUGUAGGCUGGACCAAGUGGGGUUUUUUACUUCUCAGAGCUGAGCUGGAGAGGGCCCAGGACUCAGGAGAGCUGCCCACAAGCAGGGACCACUUCUCUAAUGCCUGCUGCUCAGCCUAAUGGUCAAGCUGCGUGAGGUUCCUAGGAUCCUGGGUCAUCUGGGCAGUGUCUUGAGGGGGUGGCCACUGCUGGGUGGGAGUGAGGGUGGAGUUGAGGAUGGAAGUGAGGCCUGAUCUGUUCACCCCAAAGCACACAUUUAAUUUUUUUCAGGACUCCAGUGCCGACGAGGCUGCCUGGGCAGCUGGCAGGGUAUUCAGCUAGGUCAGCACAGGGCAGCUUUUAUGAGGGUGCUUCACUAGCACGGGGGCUUGAUCUUAACCCUGCAGACUCGGAAGCUUGUUUUCCUCGGCACGUGGAGGACAGAUCCAUCUCUCCACGGCGGAGUCACACAGGCUCCCAGAGACUCCUGUGGACCUGCCCUGUGUGUCCCUUACUCUAGGAGUAGGACUGCCAAGGGGAGCAGAUACGCGGGCCCUCUGGCCAGUACAUCCCGUCCCUCAGGCAACUCCAGAGGAGCAGAAAACCAGUGUCCGAAGGCCUUUUGCAGGCAGGAAUCUGAGCUAUACAGGCCAGCCUGUGGCUGUGGAACACCAGCCCCGAUGUAUCACUGGAGACCUGGGGGCUGAUCCCUUCCACCGAGAAUGUGAAAGGUGUGUGUGUGUGUGUGUGUAUGUAUUGGCGCCCGGGGCAGGGGUGGGGGCCGGGCAGUGCUGGGAGGACCAUGGCUUAAUUGCCUCUAGGAAGUUUCUUUUUAUUCUCUAGGCGUGGCCAGUCCCCUUCGUGGGGCACCUUCCUUCUUUAGCCUUAUGAAUAACUUUAAUUCACUUAGUUGAUUCUAGGUGGGCAGAGAUCUUUAGUUUCCCUCAGAAAACACCCUGUAUUGACAUCUUUCCAAGUUAUUUACAGUAGUCCCCCCUUCUCCGCGAUUUCACUUUCUGUGGUUUCAGUUACCUGCAGUCAACCGUGGUCCGAAAAUCACACUCCAUCACAGUGCCUGCAUCGUUCCCGCCAUCUCUCAUCACACAGGGUUUGUAUCAUCUCACAUCCUCAUGAGAAGAAGAAGGAUGAGUGCAGCACAGUAAGAUAUUCUGAGAGAGAAAGAGAGGGGGAGCCCACAUUCACACAACUUUUAUUACAGGAAAAGUUAUAAUUAUGUAUAGGAAAAAAUAGUAUAUAUAGGGUUUGGUACUAAUCCGGAGUUUCAGGCAUCCACUGGGGGUCUUGGAACUUAUCCCCCACCGGCAAGAGGGGACUACAGUAUUUAUUUGUUUACUCAGGGAAGGGUCUUACUCUCGCUCUCAUGUGCUGCCUGUGUUUUACCCAACACCCCACUGCUCACGUAACAGAAACAGCCCUGGACAGUGGUCAGUGAAGAGAAUGGCGUGACCCCAGUGGGGCUCUGUGAAGUUACUCAGGAAGUGCUGGGCAGAUGAGUGGAGUGAGCUGGAGCUGGGCAGGCCAUGGGGACAGCCGCUGCCGCAGCUCCAGUGAGCAGUCCAGGGGCCUGGGUGGGGAGGAGCAGACAGGUGAGAGGGAGUGAGAGGUGCCAGUGGCCUUGGGAAGGAGGAAGCAACUGGCUUUGGAGGAAUCUGACUCAAUAUCAGAGAUAAGAAGACAAGACAUGACUCUGGCUUCCCUGGUGGUGGGAAGUGUGAUGGGGAGGAGCCUUGGGGAGAAGAGGCUUAUUCAGUUAUUCAGGAUUGGACAUUCAAAAUUGACUUACUGAGCCUACUCUCCAUCUCCCUUUGGCUAGAUUCUCUUCCCCUGGUAGUUAUCUCAAGCUUGGGACUGAGUUCAAGCUUUUGGCCAAAACUUCAUAGAAGCAAAGAUGAUGACUCAUUGACGUGACGGAAUGAAUGAAAUCAUUUAAGAGGGAGUACAGAAGAAGUAGGUGACCAGGGACCACAUCUUGGGGACUGCUCAAUCGAGGAGUGCAGUUCCAUGUCACUUCUCAUUGGGACCUGUGCUGAGUGACGAGAUGGGGUUGACUGGGAGUAGGCUGGUCUCCCAGGGCUUCUGAGGGAAAUGCUGUGAGCAUCGCAUGUUGGAGUCCCCUUCCCAUGGGCUCUGGCACCAACAGUCCCUUCAGCCUGUCGUGGAGGAGGAGCUGGGUGAAUGGGGAAGAGUUGGAACCAGCAGAGGGUGUACCCCGAGGGCAGUACGUAAAGACCUGGUCUCUAAACAGAAAGUUCGGGAAGACUGAGGGAGGGAUCCGCUGCAGCCAGAGGAGAAGACUAGGGUUAGACGAGUCAUUGAUUGAUGAGUUAAGGUUUAAUGAAAAGAUACGAAAUUGUACUUAAGUGCUUAUCUUUCUUUGCCUCUUGUUCUUAAAUUAUGUAUCAGAUUUUUAAAUGUGGACAUGAUUAAUGCUACUUAGGAUCUCCGGCUUGGCUGUUUUAACAAAGAGUUAUAUUUUAACUGAAAAAGCAUAACUGAGAGGAGACUCUUAACGUUUUUCUUCAAUUAAUCACCCCUGAGCAGCUCAGCUGUUUGGACCCUAAGGCCAUAUGCAAAGGCAUCACUGCCCACUGGGUGGUAAUUUACCCUCAUUCCGGGCGGAGUACUAGGAGAAAAUAAACUGCCUCCUGAGGGCUGCAGCUGCAACGUGGGAAGAAGGUUACAAGGAAUCCGGAGGUUCUUAUGUUUUACUAGAAUGGAAAUGGAUGUCGAGAGGAGGAUUGGGGGGAGGUACAGUGCUGAUGCAGGGGCGGGGGGAGUCUUAACCUCCAGAUACAUCUGGGAGAGUCCUUGGAGAAGCUGGUCUUUGGAGGGAGAAGGUAUCUGGAGGGCUUGGGAAGUGAAAUGCGGAGGAUGGGCCUGGCUUGCACAGUUCCGUUCAGUAGAUAGUUAUUGAUACCUACUGUGUGUCAGGUUCCAGAGAUACAAAUAGGAGUAAAACACAUUCUUGUCUCAAGUUGUUGACUAAAUAGUGGAGAAAUUGUCUGGUAAACAGUUGUAUGUGAUAUACCUAUGGUCUAUUCGAUAAUAGACAUUUGUACAAGGCACAAAGUGGGGCCUCUUGAUGGGAAAAUAGUGAAUCCUUAAAGUAAGCCUACUGUCAUACUGUCCCCACAGCCAUCAUGUACCACUGAGCAGCAACUUGGUGCAUUUGAGGCCAUGGGCCUCCAGGCUUUGAUGAGCUCUCACCAGAAGGAUGAGUAGGUGGAUUCAAAUCCUGCCUCUGCUGCUUACAAGUUGCAUAGCCUUGAGCAAGUCACUUAACAUCUCUGUGCCUCAGUUUCCUUGCAGUGGGACUUACCUCAUAGAGUUGUUGAAAGGAUUAAAUGUGUUACACAGUGUUAGCUUUGAUGGUAGAGAAGAAGGAGGAGGAGAAGUCAUCUAGAAAGCUGGACCGGAAGGGAGUUCUUGGAGGAGAAUAAGUUAGACAUGUGAUAGCCCAACCCAGCUUGGCCUGAGUGAGCAGGGAAUUUACUGACUUUCCCAGUGGACUGGGAAGGUCAAACAGUUCUGUGGAUCUGGUGUCUCUCUCCCUUGUUGGCCGCUCCCUCUAGGUUGACACCAUUCUCAAAGACUGUAUGACCUUGCCAAGAAGGGUGCAGGCAGCUCUUAUGACUACAGCCUCCUAGGAGGAAUUCAGUGGGAGAUAAUACAAGAGCCUUUUCUCUCGCACUCCUCGGAAGAGCCCUUGGAUGGACCCUGGGAGGGUUAAGCCUGUGCCUGACCCUGAGCCACUCUCUGAGGUCGGCUGAGUGCCUGGAGGCCAUUGCACUCUCCAUCUAAAACACAUUCUCUACGAUGUCCAUCUCUGGCUUCUUUUAAUGGAGCAAGAACUCCAAGACUCUAAAAGCAAUUUGAGUGCAAAAUCUGCUACAUUUUUAGAGAUAUUUUGUUUCUGAUCUCUCAGCUUUGUCUCACCCUGUCCAAAAAGUGAGCACGAUUUUAGCAACUUGCAUUUGUUGUGUCUUUCCAAAGCCUCCAAUUUACUGUCCUAGAAGCUGCAGCUCUUUCUCUUCACAUUUAUACUUCAUUGGUUUAUUAAUAUUUAAUUAAAUUAAGUAUUUAUAAUAACAAAUACAACUGGCAAACAGGUGUGGGGACAAACACAGCAGACUCCUGGUAAGCAUUCUAUUUGGCUUGUGGGGCACAAGUGCAAGAGUCUCCUUGAGCUGUCACAGGGUCGUGGGCAUUGGGUCCGUGCGUUUGACAGAGCAAAUAGAAAAAGUCGGUGGAGCAGGCAAAUCCAAUAAGGUCGUUAAAGAGAGUUUCCACUUCCCAGGUUUGCUCUCGGAUGACCGGCAUGGAUGGUUAGUUGCAGUGGAUUUUGAGAGAGUGAGCUGGACCCAUAUGGGAUGGGCAAGAGAGAAGGGGAGCUUUGGCAUCCCUGAGGAGAGCCAAUAGUCCAGAGAUAGCUAUGAUGACUUAAGUCCACAUCCAGACCUGAUGGCCAGAGCUGUGGGCAUCCGAUCUGAGCAAGGAAGAUCCCUGGCGUAGAGUUCAUGGGUGCGGGAUGGGGAAUGUUAGGAAAGCAUAGCCCCAGCCUGCCCACUCUAAGUCUAUCCAUAAGGGCAUGGAAAAGGGAAGAGGAUGCCGUCCCCUGGCCCCAGGUCGUAGAGCAAAGCGUGAGCUGGCCUUAGUUCACAAAUGGGAGUGUUCCCCUCAGGUCAUCUGAGGACUAUAUUCAGAAGGGGCUGCCCACCCAGGAAGGCCAGGAGGGCACUCAUCCCUUUGCCCAGCGACCCAGGCAAGCACAACAAAUUUUGAAUCCCACCAGACUCAGAAUCUCAUGCAGAGGUUGGCAUCAUCUAAUGCCGCCCCAGGCUGCCUGACAUCAGCUGCAUGUGCAGGUCAGCCCCGCCUCAGAAGACCCCAACCACAAGCAGAACAGGCCUCAGGAGCCUCAUCAGUAAAAUGCGGACAGAGAUACCUACCUCAUGGACUGUUGGGAGGAUGAAAUGAGAUGACGGUCACCAAGUUCCCAGUACAGAGUAAGGACUCAGGAAGUAUCAGCUCCCUCUUAGCCAUGUCUCCCUGGUUUUUGGCUGUGGAAACAGGGGCUCACAGAAGUCAAGCCGCUUGCCUUGUUUAUGUCGCCCAAGAUUGGCAGAGCAUGGUCCUGAAGCUCCCUCUUUUCCUCCUAGCUCGAGCUUGGUCCAUACACAGGCAGGCUGCUGCCCCUCUGCUAGCUUGGACCCCCGCCUACCCCUGGAUGGGUAGCCCAUGGUCCUUUACCGUGAGUUACUGUGUGGUGAGAAAGGCCUCAGUUUAAUAAUGCAGCAGAGAUUAGGGAAGCCUAGGCCAGAAGGAGGACAUAGAAAUACCUAGUUACUAAAACAAUAUCGGAUAACGACCUUUUAAACGAGCUGCAGCUCAGGGAACUAGUUGAGCCGGGUAAUGACUACAGCUCCGGGCCUAACGAGGAAGCCAUCACUUAUUUAUAACACUGUCGCUUUCUUGCUGUUAUUGUACACCUACCCCAGGGUCUAGGCAGGUGGGUACCUCUCAUGAUCUGAGCAACAUAUGAGUCAGUUUGGCCAAGUCUCUGAGCUGGAGGAUUGGCUGGGACAAGGGAGUGAGGAAUUCAGCUGGUGAGGUCCCCAGUCCCUGGCACUGGGGCAGGGAACAGGGUGCUAAACUCUGGGGUGCUCAGAGUCCUUUGUUCAAAGUGAAUUCAGUGGCCAGGGACAAAUCAAGUGGAUGCAGGGUUGUUGGCUGUCACCUCACUGUAUUCAUUAUUUAUUAUUUAUGAUCAUUAUUAUUAUUGCCUUUAUUUAAUGAGUGCACUGCACUUCACACUUCAGGGCUCCCUAGGUGAUCGCAGCCAAUCUCAGGACUUUAAAUAUCUAGACAGUGACAGCCCCCAAACUUGUUUCCAGCCCGAUCUCUCUCUUUACUGCAAACACAUCGUUCCCCUUUGUCCCUGGAUCUCCCCACUGGGAUGUCCAACAGGCUCCUCACCCAUAGCAUGUCCCAAAGGGGACUGCUCCCCCACCAGUCUUUACAUCACGUGAAUGGUGUUAUGAUCUACCUGGCUGUCAUAGCCACAAGGCGUGAGUCGCCUUGAAUGCCUCCCUUUCCCUCGUGGCCCUCAUCCAGUCCACCCACAGACCCCGCUGGCUCUCCUUCCAGAAUGCCUCCUGGAUCUGUCCACUUUCUCUACCUUCAUCACCUGGCCCUAGCCCCCAUUAUCUUUUGCCUCCUGACCAACAGGCAUCCCUGCUUCCAGAUUCCUUCUCACUCAUUCUAAGUCUAAGAACUUAUUCAUUCAGAACCUCCUGGGGUCUUCUCGUUACACUCAGCAUGAAACCCAGCUUUGUGCCAUGGCCCUCAGGUCCCUAUCUGCUCUGACCUCUGCCCACCUCUGCAAACUCCUACUCCUCCUUGCUACUCUUCAGGCUGUGCUGACCUUUCUGGCCCUUUAACAGAGCACACUUGUUCCUGUCUCAGGAACUUUGCCAUUGCUUUUCCUUCUGCCUGGAAUGGUUUCCCUCAGGGCUUCCCAGGACUGGCUCCUUCUCUUCAGUCAGUUCCACUAAGUGUCAGCUUCACACAGAGGCCUUCCCAGCCCACCUUAGUUAAUAACACCCCCUGCCACUCCUUAUCAUAUCAUCUUGCUCUGUCAUACACAGCACUUGUAAUUAUCUGAAACUAUCUUACUUGUUUACACACACGGGGGUGUAGACUUUCCAGGAGCAGGAACCGUUUGUGAGUUGGUUCUGCUCUGAACAGGGCCUCGCAUGGUGCCUGGGACACAGUAGACUCUUGGUAAAUAUUGAGUGAGUUCAUGAACAAGUGUUUAUCUAAUUUCAACAGUGACCUAGCAAAGUAGGUUUCAUUUGCUCAAUUUUACAGGAAGUCGAAGUUUAAAGAUGUCACAUAUCUUGUCUAAGGUCAUCCAAACUUGUAAGUGGCAGAGAUGAAGUUCAAACCCAGUUGUCUUGCUCCAACACUCUUCUCCGAAAGCCUUUCCUAGACAAACCUACUAGGGUGCUGCUCCCAAAAGAGAGAGUUUGAAGAUCCCCUAAGAAAGUGUCCCUUAGCUAGUUCAUGGUCCCUCCUCGAGUGGGGUUACUGUGUCUGGACCAUGAGGUCUUUGCAAUUGCCAUCAUCAUCAUCCCAGCAGCUGCAGGUGAGGGAGCAAGUGUGACUGUGUGUGUGAGGGGCCGGUAGGUGGGUGGAAUGAGUCGUGGCUGCGCUAAAGCUCUGAGUUAUCCUCGCAAGGACUUCAUCCGCGUGGCCCUGUGAUGGCCAGCAGCCAGCCUGCUUGCAGAGUUAAUACAGUUAAUUGCACGAAGCAACAAGGGCAAUGAAUGAGAAAAGUCCAGAGGAACUAGAAUGGAGCCAUGUGGGUAGCUAUUUGAUAGCAAGAAUUGGAUGCUGCGUUUCCAUGUGGUGACACAGGGGCUGCCAAAUUGCCUGUCCAUCCACCUCUGACACCUGCGUCUGCUUUUGUCCCCCAUGUGGAGAGGAGCCUUUGUGCUGUAAAAUCCUCAAAUUUCCCGUCCUAUCUCACCCUUCCACUUUUCCUCAAGUGCAUUCUAUUUGUUCUGAGUCUCACCUGACACCUGAGAAUAAAGGACAAGCUUUACAACAAAUUGACAAAGGAUGGCCGGAUUCAGGGCAGCCACUUUGCCUCCCUAGGAGGGAACCAGCCCCCACCCACUCAGGGGGCUCUGGGACACCUCACACAGUAGCCCUGGCAUGUUUUACCUGGGCCCUUGUAAGCACACGUGAAAGAUAAUUCCCAUUCGAGGGAGAGGUGUUUUGCUCACAGUGUCUUAGUUCUCUCUCCCAUUGCCUCUUCUCUUCCUUUGUAAUUUGGAUCCAGCACAAUUAAUCAGACUGUAAAAGAGUCCAGGAACAUUGAGCAGAAUUUGCCAUUUUCAUGCAAAGCUGAAAGACACGGCUAUUUCACGUGUAAUGAUUAGACGUUUUUAUGGCCAGCCUAUCACAUUACACAGCACAGAUUUCCAAUAAAUAAAGCAAAGCUGGAAUGGGGGCUGCCAGUUGUAUAACAAUCCAACCAACAAUCGUGGACAGAAUAGUGCUUUUUUGACAUCUAAUUUACUCAAUUACAUGAGUGAUCAUGUCACUCCCUGCUUAAGCUCCUUCAAUGUCUUUCCAUAAAUGAGAAUGAUGGGUGGACACUUGAGUGCUCCCCUCACCACGGCACUUAUCACAGAUGCUGUAAGAGAAUGUUCCCCUGUGCCUGCCCCACCUGGCUGGGUUUCCCGUGAGGCAGGAACUGCACUAUUUUUCUUGGUAUCCCUUGUCUAGCACAGGGCCUGGCAUCCCAAGAGAGCCCAGCAGAGGUUGCUGAGUGGAUGAAUGACUGAAUGAUCAACUUGAGAUACAUUCAGCCUUCCUUAUCCGCAUGUUCCUUGUCUGUGGGUUCUGCAUCCAUGGAUUCAACCAACCAGGAGUUGAAAGGCCUCUGGUUGUUGCAUCUGUACUGAACAUGUACAGAUCUUUUUCCUUGUCAUCCCAGUUGGCCCUCCAUAUCGAUGGGUCCCACAUCCACAGAUUCAAGCAACUGUGGAGUGAAAUGCCUACCAUGGUUGUGUCUGUACUGAAAAUGUACAGACUUUUUCCUGUCAUUAUUCCCUAAACAAUACAGUAUA